AUCCGGCUGACGAGUCCCAAAUAGGAUGAAACGCGCUUCCUGGAU
rnacentral:hammerhead_ribozyme from 1 species